CAGAUCACCAAUCUCUCGAGGGCUCAGCGAAAGCAAUAAAUAGUCCAGCGUCCUUGACGACGACAUGGCGAAUCCAGACUACGAUUAACGCUAAACGCGACGAUCGACGAUGUCUGGCGAAGGCCGGGGGCCCGUCCGCAUUUGCAUAUCUAUUCGGAUCGAUACCAUCGACGAUCUUGACGUCGUCUUUGGUCGGUCGCCGGAACGAGGGCGGGCACUCUGAGCGUGGGGGUUAGUACCCGAAAGAUGGUGAUCUAUGCUUGUUUAGGACGAAGCCGGGGGAACACCGGUGGAGGUUCGUAGCGAUUCUGACGUGCAAUCGAUCGUCGGAGCUGAGUAUAGG
rnacentral:rRNA from 1 species